GACGAACGCUGGCGGCGUGCCUAAUACAUGCAAGUAGAACGCUGAAGGAGGAGCUUGCUUCUCUGGAUGAGUUGCGAACGGGUGAGUAACGCGUAGGUAACCCGCCUGGUAGCGGGGGAUAACUAUUGGAAACGGUAGCUAAUACCGCAUAAUAGUAGAUGUUGCAUGACAUUUGCUUAAAAGGUGCAAUUGCAUCACUACCAGAUGGACCUGCGUUGUAUUAGCUAGUUGGUGGGGUAACGGCUCACCAAGGCGACGAUACAUAGCCGACCUGAGAGGGUGAUCGGCCACACUGGGACUGAGACACGGCCCAGACUCCUACGGGAGGCAGCAGUAGGGAAUCUUCGGCAAUGGACGGAAGUCUGACCGAGCAACGCCGCGUGAGUGAAGAAGGUUUUCGGAUCGUAAAGCUCUGUUGUAAGAGAAGAACGAGUGUGAGGGUGGAAAGUUCACACUGUGACGGUAUCUUACCAGAAAGGGACGGCUAACUACGUG
rnacentral:rRNA from 1 species